UACGAAGGGGGCUAGCGUUGCUCGGAAUCACUGGGCGUAAAGCGCACGUAGGCGGACUCUUAAGUCGGUGGUGAAAUCCUGGAGCUCAACUCCAGAACUGCCUUCGAUACUGGGAGUCUCGAGUUCGGGAGAGGUGAGUGGAACUGCGAGUGUAGAGGUGAAAUUCGUAGAUAUUCGCAAGAACACCAGUGGCGAAGGCGGCUCACUGGCCCGAUUCUGACGCUGAGGUGCGAAAGCGUGGGGAGCAAACAGG
rnacentral:rRNA from 1 species